rnacentral:sRNA from 1 species
UUUUUUAUUAAUUAUUAUAGUUCACUUCUCAUCUUUAUAUGAUUUUAUUUUUGCGGAAAAAUAAUAUCAUCAUUAUAAAAAAAUAAUUAGAGUUAUUUCGCAUAUGCCACAAUUUGAAUUUUUAAAAACGAAUAUAAACUGUUCAAUACAUGAAAAAAUAUUAUAACGGGUGAAAAAUAGAUUUAAGAAAACUUUCUACUGAGUAACGGGUCAUAAUUUGAAAUAUUUAUAUUCAAUUUCAUACAUAUUAUAUUGAAAAUUUAUAAUCUUAUAUACUACAAUAAUUAAUAACAUAUUAGAUGUGAUUCAAUUUUUAAUAAAAGCUGGAAAAUCCUAGAAUUGACGGGUUUAGAUCGAUAUUAAUACAAGAUGGAAUACUACAGGUGAAACUCUUAAAUUAACAAUCAAACUACAAGUGUAUAAUCUUAAACACUAAACAAUAUAGAUAAUAUCAACAAAACAUAUACAUGAACUCACAGUUUACUAUACAUAUAAAAUCAAAUAAAAUAAUAUCAUAUAUUUUUAAAUCAUCUUUACAAUAAAAGAUUUU